rnacentral:rRNA from 1 species
CCUACGGGAGGCAGCAGUGAGGAAUAUUGGUCAAUGGGCGCGAGCCUGAACCAGCCAAGUCGCGUGAAGGAUGACUGCCCUACGGGUUGUAAACUUCUUUUAUAAAGGAAUAAAGUGAGGCACGUGUGCCUUUUUGUAUGUACUUUAUGAAUAAGGAUCGGCUAACUCCGUGCCAGCAGCCGCGGUAAUACGGAGGAUCCGAGCGUUAUCCUGAUUUAUUGGGUUUAAAGGGAGCGUAGAUGGGUUGUUAAGUCAGUUGUGAAAGUUUGCGGCUCAACCGUAAAAUUGCAAUUGAUACUGGCUGUCUUGAGUACAGUUGAGGUAGGCGGAAUUCGUGGUGUAGCGGUGAAAUGCUUAGAUAUCACGAAGAACCCCGAUUGCGAAGGCAGCUUACUAAACUGUGACUGUCAUUGAUGCUCGAAAGUGUGGGUAUCAAACAGGAUUAGAUACCCCUGUAGUC